rnacentral:rRNA from 1 species
UUAAGCGACUAAGCGUACACGGUGGAUGCCCUGGCAGUCAGAGGCGAUGAAGGACGUGCUAAUCUGCGAUAAGCGUCGGUAAGGUGAUAUGAACCGUUAUAACCGGCGAUUUCCGAAUGGGGAAACCCAGUGUGAUUCGUCACACUAUCAUUAACUGAAUCCAUAGGUUAAUGAGGCGAACCGGGGGAACUGAAACAUCUAAGUACCCCGAGGAAAAGAAAUCAACCGAGAUUCCCCCAGUAGCGGCGAGCGAACGGGGAGGAGCCCAGAGCCUGAAUCAGUGUGUGUGUUAGUGGAAGCGUCUGGAAAGGCGCGCGAUACAGGGUGACAGCCCCGUACACAAAAAUGCACAUGCUGUGAGCUCGAUGAGUAGGGCGGGACACGUGGUAUCCUGUCUGAAUAUGGGGGGACCAUCCUCCAAGGCUAAAUACUCCUGACUGACCGAUAGUGAACCAGUACCGUGAGGGAAAGGCGAAAAGAACCCCGGCGAGGGGAGUGAAAAAGAACCUGAAACCGUGUACGUACAAGCAGUGGGAGCCUCUUUAUGGGGUGACUGCGUACCUUUUGUAUAAUGGGUCAGCGACUUAUAUUCUGUAGCAAGGUUAACCGAAUAGGGGAGCCGAAGGGAAACCGAGUCUUAACUGGGCGUUAAGUUGCAGGGUAUAGACCCGAAACCCGGUGAUCUAGCCAUGGGCAGGUUGAAGGUUGGGUAACACUAACUGGAGGACCGAACCGACUAAUGUUGAAAAAUUAGCGGAUGACUUGUGGCUGGGGGUGAAAGGCCAAUCAAACCGGGAGAUAGCUGGUUCUCCCCGAAAGCUAUUUAGGUAGCGCCUCGUGAAUUCAUCUCCGGGGGUAGAGCACUGUUUCGGCAAGGGGGUCAUCCCGACUUACCAACCCGAUGCAAACUGCGAAUACCGGAGAAUGUUAUCACGGGAGACACACGGCGGGUGCUAACGUCCGUCGUGAAGAGGGAAACAACCCAGACCGCCAGCUAAGGUCCCAAAGUCAUGGUUAAGUGGGAAACGAUGUGGGAAGGCCCAGACAGCCAGGAUGUUGGCUUAGAAGCAGCCAUCAUUUAAAGAAAGCGUAAUAGCUCACUGGUCGAGUCGGCCUGCGCGGAAGAUGUAACGGGGCUAAACCAUGCACCGAAGCUGCGGCAGCGACACUAUGUGUUGUUGGGUAGGGGAGCGUUCUGUAAGCCUGUGAAGGUGUGCUGUGAGGCAUGCUGGAGGUAUCAGAAGUGCGAAUGCUGACAUAAGUAACGAUAAAGCGGGUGAAAAGCCCGCUCGCCGGAAGACCAAGGGUUCCUGUCCAACGUUAAUCGGGGCAGGGUGAGUCGACCCCUAAGGCGAGGCCGAAAGGCGUAGUCGAUGGGAAACAGGUUAAUAUUCCUGUACUUGGUGUUACUGCGAAGGGGGGACGGAGAAGGCUAUGUUGGCUGGGCGACGGUUGUCCCGGUUUAAGCGUGUAGGCUGGUUUUCCAGGCAAAUCCGGAAAAUCAAGGCUGAGGCGUGAUGACGAGGCACUACGGUGCUGAAGCAACAAAUGCCCUGCUUCCAGGAAAAGCCUCUAAGCAUCAGGUAACAUCAAAUCGUACCCCAAACCGACACAGGUGGUCAGGUAGAGAAUACCAAGGCGCUUGAGAGAACUCGGGUGAAGGAACUAGGCAAAAUGGUGCCGUAACUUCGGGAGAAGGCACGCUGAUAUGUAGGUGAAGUCCCUCGCGGAUGGAGCUGAAAUCAGUCGAAGAUACCAGCUGGCUGCAACUGUUUAUUAAAAACACAGCACUGUGCAAACACGAAAGUGGACGUAUACGGUGUGACGCCUGCCCGGUGCCGGAAGGUUAAUUGAUGGGGUCAGCGCAAGCGAAGCUCUUGAUCGAAGCCCCGGUAAACGGCGGCCGUAACUAUAACGGUCCUAAGGUAGCGAAAUUCCUUGUCGGGUAAGUUCCGACCUGCACGAAUGGCGUAAUGAUGGCCAGGCUGUCUCCACCCGAGACUCAGUGAAAUUGAACUCGCUGUGAAGAUGCAGUGUACCCGCGGCAAGACGGAAAGACCCCGUGAACCUUUACUAUAGCUUGACACUGAACAUUGAGCCUUGAUGUGUAGGAUAGGUGGGAGGCUUUGAAGUGUGGACGCCAGUCUGCAUGGAGCCGACCUUGAAAUACCACCCUUUAAUGUUUGAUGUUCUAACGUUGACCCGUAAUCCGGGUUGCGGACAGUGUCUGGUGGGUAGUUUGACUGGGGCGGUCUCCUCCUAAAGAGUAACGGAGGAGCACGAAGGUUGGCUAAUCCUGGUCGGACAUCAGGAGGUUAGUGCAAUGGCAUAAGCCAGCUUGACUGCGAGCGUGACGGCGCGAGCAGGUGCGAAAGCAGGUCAUAGUGAUCCGGUGGUUCUGAAUGGAAGGGCCAUCGCUCAACGGAUAAAAGGUACUCCGGGGAUAACAGGCUGAUACCGCCCAAGAGUUCAUAUCGACGGCGGUGUUUGGCACCUCGAUGUCGGCUCAUCACAUCCUGGGGCUGAAGUAGGUCCCAAGGGUAUGGCUGUUCGCCAUUUAAAGUGGUACGCGAGCUGGGUUUAGAACGUCGUGAGACAGUUCGGUCCCUAUCUGCCGUGGGCGCUGGAGAACUGAGGGGGGCUGCUCCUAGUACGAGAGGACCGGAGUGGACGCAUCACUGGUGUUCGGGUUGUCAUGCCAAUGGCACUGCCCGGUAGCUAAAUGCGGAAGAGAUAAGUGCUGAAAGCAUCUAAGCACGAAACUUGCCCCGAGAUGAGUUCUCCCUGACCCUUUAAGGGUCCUGAAGGAACGUUGAAGACGACGACGUUGAUAGGCUGGGUGUGUAAGCGCAGCGAUGCGUUGAGCUAACCGGUACUAAUGAACCGUGAGGCUUAACCUU